GAGCGGUAACAGGAGAAAGCUUGCUUUCUUGCUGACGAGCGGCGGACGGGUGAGUAAUGUAUGGGGAUCUGCCCGAUAGAGGGGGAUAACUACUGGAAACGGUGGCUAAUACCGCAUAAUGUCUACGGACCAAAGCAGGGGCUCUUCGGACCUUGCGCUAUCGGAUGAACCCAUAUGGGAUUAGCUAGUAGGUGGGGUAAAGGCUCACCUAGGCGACGAUCUCUAGCUGGUCUGAGAGGAUGAUCAGCCACACUGGGACUGAGACACGGCCCAGACUC
rnacentral:rRNA from 1 species